rnacentral:rRNA from 1 species
AGGACGAACGCUGGCGGCGUGCCUAACACAUGCAAGUCGAGCGAGGAGAUCCUUCGGGAUGAUCCUAGCGGCGGACGGGUGAGUAACACGUGGGCAACCUGCCUCAUAGAGAGGAAUAGCCUUCCGAAAGGGAGAUUAAUACCUCAUAACAUUGCAGUUUCGCAUGAAACAGCAAUUAAAGGAGCAAUCCGCUAUGAGAUGGGGCCCGCGGCGCAUUAGCUAGUUGGUGAGGUAACGGCUCACCAAGGCGACGAUGCGUAGCCGACCUGAGAGGGUGAUCGGCCACAUUGGGACUGAGACACGGCCCAGACUCCUACGGGAGGCAGCAGUGGGGAAUAUUGCACAAUGGGGGAAACCCUGAUGCAAGCAACGCCGCGUGAGUGAUGACGGCCUUCGGGUUGUAAAGCUCUGUCUUCAGGGACGAUAAUGACGGUACCUGAGGAGGAAGCCACGGCUAACUACGUGCCAGCCGCUGC